GAUGAACGCUGACAGAAUGCUUAACACAUGCAAGUCAACUUGAAUUUGGGUUUUUAACUUAGAUUUGGGUGGCGGACGGGUGAGUAACGCGUAAAGAACUUGCCUCACAGCUAGGGACAACAUUUAGAAAUGAAUGCUAAUACCUGAUAUUAUGAUUUUAAGGCAUCUUAGAAUUAUGAAAGCUAUAAGCACUGUGAGAGAGCUUUGCGUCCCAUUAGCUAGUUGGAGAGGUAACAGCUCACCAAGGCGAUGAUGGGUAGCCGGCCCGAGAGGGUGAACGGCCACAAGGGGACUGAGACACGGCCCUUACUCCUACGGGAGGCAGCAGUGGGGAAUAUUGGACAAUGGACCAAGAGUCUGAUCCAGCAAUUCUGUGUGCACGAUGAAGUUUUUCGGAAUGUAAAGUGCUUUCAGUUGGGAAGAAAAAAAUGACGGUACCAACAGAAGAAGUGACGGCUAAAUACGUGCCAGCAGCCGCGGUAAUACGUAUGUCACAAGCGUUAUCCGGAUUUAUUGGGCGUAAAGCGCGUCUAGGUGGUUAUGUAAGUCUGAUGUGAAAAUGCAGGGCUCAGCUCUGUAUUGCGUUGGAAACUGUGUAACUAGAGUACUGGAGAGGUAAGCGGAACUACAAGUGUAGAGGUGAAAUUCGUAGAUAUUUGUAGGAAUGCCGAUGGGGAAGCCAGCUUACUGGACAGAUACUGACGCUGAAGCGCGAAAGCGUGGGUAGCAAACAGG
rnacentral:rRNA from 1 species